rnacentral:rRNA from 1 species
UACGGAGGGGACUAGCGUUGUUCGGAAUUACUGGGCGUAAAGGGUGCGUAGGCGGCGCGGUAAGUCGGGUGUGAAAUCUCGGGGCUUAACUCCGAAACUGCAUUCGAUACUGCCGUGCUUGAGGACUGGAGAGGAGACUGGAAUUUACGGUGUAGCGGUGAAAUGCGUAGAUAUCGUAAGGAAGACCAGUGGCGAAGGCGGGUCUCUGGACAGUUCCUGACGCUGAGGCACGAAGGUCAGGGGAGCAAACGGG